rnacentral:rRNA from 1 species
UACGGAGGGUGCGAGCGUUGUCCGGAAUCAUUGGGCGUAAAGGGCGCGUAGGUGGCCACUUCAAGCGUGCGGUGAAAGUCGGGGCUCAACCCCUGAUCGGCCGUGCGAACUGGGGGGCUGGAGCACUGUAGAGGCAGGCGGAAUUCCGGGUGUAGCGGUGGAAUGCGUAGAGAUCCGGAAGAACACCGGUGGCGAAGGCGGCCUGCUGGGCAGUUUUGCUGACACUGAGGCGCGACAGCGUGGGGAGCAAACAGG